rnacentral:ribozyme from 11 species
AAAAAAAAAAAAAAAAAAAGCAAGGUUUCCGUAUACUUCUUAUAUUAUUUUUGUAGGUUUUUUCUUUUCAUUCUCUUUUUUUUCUUUUUUAUUUUAAAAGGAAAGUAGGUUUAAAAAGAAAAAAUAAAAUAAAAAGAAAAAUUCAAUUCUUUUAUUUAUUCU